rnacentral:lncRNA from 1 species
UCACAGAUGUAUUUGAACCCUUAACUAAAGCCUGGGGUUGGCUUCACUAGGUAACGCAGAAUCCCAGGUGAUAAACUCUUGGGAUUACCUUAGCCAAGUAGAUUUCUAACAAAUAGAUUACAGGCAGAUGGCCUCUGUACUUCAGGGGAAAAGCAGUGUACCCCAAGGCAAACUCUCAAACCAAGGAAUAACUAAUCUUUCCACAAUAUUAAGAUUGCUAAGGGAAAGUUGCUAGAGCAAAGAUCCUCCUUCCAGAGUGACAAUUAAAACAGUCAAACCCAAGAAUCUCCACCCCCCCCCAGGCUUGUAUUCAAAUUCUCAUCUUUUCCUUUUAAAGUUAAUCUAUGAAAUUUACUCUAUCCCUUACUUACUUUCUACAGAAUCCCCUUAUGAUUUGUGGCUGAAAGCUCCAGGAGCCUUGGCUGAUGAUUCAGGCACUCCCAACAUCUGUUGCUGUGGUAUAAUGUUACUUCACUAUCAGAGGCCUGCAGAAAUUAGCCCAUUCUCCUGCCCCAAAGUCAGAGAGAAGACUCAAAGUAAAUCUCUUUAG